UCGAGCGGCAAAUCUUCCACUGCGCCCCCUGCUGUAUGCGGCAGGAGCUGCAGGCACCGCAGCGGGAGUUUAUUAUUGUAUUAAGAAGCGUCGCGAUGGGGAGAGAACCGCGGAGCCCGUGUACAGACCUCCCACCGAAGAUUCUGCUGUGGUGGAGUCAGACUUGAUGUCUGAUGUGGAUGCAGUCAGAGUCACACAGACUGACAGGGCUGUCCCUGAGGAUUCUCUGAGCGAGACUGAGGAGAACAAUAAGGAGGACGAGGUGUUCAGUGCUCAGGUGGACCGCGAGAGGUCCAACCUGGAGGACAGAGUGAGGGAGCUGGAGGGACUGGUCUGUGAGGCACACCGAGAGUAUGAGAGGAAAAAGAAGGACCUUGAGCGAGAGACGGUAACUCACGUUAUCCUGAAGUCACAGUAUGAGGGGUCACUAAAGGUCUCCUUGACUGAAGCUGAGGAGAAAUAUGAGCUUGCGAUCGAGUCCUGUGUUCAGCUGGAAAAGGAGAAAUCUGAACUGAUGUCUGAUGUGAAUGCCCUGCAAGGCUCAGUUCAGGAGCUGGAAAAAGAACUCUCUGAGAUGCGGAUAAGACAUGAUGAGCUAGCGACGGAGUGUAAACAAAAAAGUCUGCAGUUGCGCGUCCUGCAGACCAAGCAUGAUGUGAUGAGGACAUUUUUACAGAAGCCUGUCAGGAAGUUGGGGUCAGAGCGCAGGAUCGGCCAUGAUACAGCACCCCUGGAGCAGAG
ensembl:lncRNA